rnacentral:rRNA from 1 species
UAGCGAAUGGUUCAUUCUUUUUUACUGUGAACUGUUUUAAUUUUUCAGCGUCUGAGGAAUGUCUUUUAGCCAUAGGGAUAGGCUACUAGAAUGUUAACCGAGCUGAAAGUCAGGCUUAGGCCUGGUAUCCUAUUAAUUAUUUACCAAAAGAAUUCAGUAUUAUAAUUGUAACAUAAGCGUAAAAAACUUAUAAAACAACUUUUAACAACGGAUCUCUUGGUUCUCGCAUCGAUGAAGAACGUAGCAAAGUGCGAUAACUAGUGUGAAUUGCAUAUUCAGUGAAUCAUCGAGUCUUUGAACGCAACUUGCGCUCAAUGGUAUUCCAUUGAGCACGCCUGUUUCAGUAUCAAAAACACCCCACAUUCAUAAUUUUGUUGUGAAUGGAAAUGAGAGUUUCGGCUUUAUUGCUGAAUUCUUUAAAAUUAUUAGGCCUGAACUAUUGUUCUUUCUGCCUGAACAUUUUUUUAAUAUAAAGGAAUGCUCUAGUAAAAAGACUAUCUCUGGGGCCUCCCAAAUAAAUCAUUCUUAAAUUUGAUCUGAAAUCAGGCGGGAUUACCCGCUGAACUUAAGCAUAUCAAUAAGCGGAGGAA